rnacentral:rRNA from 1 species
UUAAGUGACUAAGCGUACACGGUGGAUGCCUUGGCAGUCAGAGGCGAUGAAAGACGUAGUAACUUGCGAUAAGCCCAGAUUAGGUAGUAACAACCAUUUGAGUCUGGGAUUUCUGAAUGGGGAAACCCACGUGCAUAAGCACGUAUCCUUACCUGAAUACAUAGGGUAAGGAGGCGAACCGGGGGAACUGAAACAUCUAAGUACCCCGAGGAAAAGAAAUCAACCGAGAUUCCGAAAGUAGCGGCGAGCGAAAUUGGACUAGCCCUUAAGCUUUACACGCGUUAGACGAACGGUCUGGAAAGUCCGACGAUACAGGGUGAUAGUCCCGUAGUUGACGACGUGUGUUCAGUGAAAUCGAGUAGGGCGGGACACGUGAUAUCCUGUCUGAAUAUGGGGGGACCAUCCUCCAAGGCUAAAUACUACUGACUGACCGAUAGUGAACCAGUACCGUGAGGGAAAGGCGAAAAGAACCCCUGUGAGGGGAGUGAAAUAGAACCUGAAACCGUGUACGUACAAGCAGUAGGAGCAGGCUUUGUCCUGUGACUGCGUACCUUUUGUAUAAUGGGUCAGCGACUUAUAUUCAGUGGCAAGGUUAACCAUCUAGGGGAGCCGUAGGGAAACCGAGUCUUAACUGGGCGUUCAGUCUCUGGAUAUAGACCCGAAACCAGGUGAUCUAGCCAUGGGCAGGUUGAAGGUUGAGUAACAUCAACUGGAGGACCGAACCGACUAAUGUUGAAAAAUUAGCGGAUGACUUGUGGCUAGGGGUGAAAGGCCAAUCAAACCUGGAGAUAGCUGGUUCUCCCCGAAAGCUAUUUAGGUAGCGCCUCGGACGAAUACUACUGGGGGUAGAGCACUGUUAAGGCUAGGGGGUCAUCCCGACUUACCAACCCUUUGCAAACUCCGAAUACCAGUAAGUACUAUCCGGGAGACACACGGCGGGUGCUAACGUCCGUCGUGGAGAGGGAAACAACCCAGACCGCCAGCUAAGGUCCCAAAUUACUACUAAGUGGGAAACGAUGUGGGAAGGCUCAGACAGCCAGGAUGUUGGCUUAGAAGCAGCCAUCAUUUAAAGAAAGCGUAAUAGCUCACUGGUCGAGUCGGCCUGCGCGGAAGAUGUAACGGGGCUAAGUAGUAAACCGAAGCUGCGGCAAUAUACUUUUGUAUAUUGGGUAGGGGAGCGUUCUGUAAGCGGUUGAAGGUGUGUGGUAACGCAUGCUGGACGUAUCAGAAGUGCGAAUGCUGACAUGAGUAACGAUAAAGGGGGUGAAAAACCUCCUCGCCGGAAGACCAAGGGUUCCUGUCCAACGUUAAUCGGGGCAGGGUAAGUCGACCCCUAAGGCGAGGCCGAAAGGCGUAGUCGAUGGGAAACGGGUUAAUAUUCCCGUACUUCUUACAAUUGCGAUGGGGGGACGGAGAAGGCUAGGUGGGCCUGGCGACGGUUGUCCAGGUUCAAGUGCGUAGGCUUGAGAGUUAGGUAAAUCCGGCUCUUUUUAAGGCUGAGACACGACGUCGAGCACCUACGGGUGUGAAGUCAUUGAUGCCAUGCUUCCAGGAAAAGCCUCUAAGCUUCAGAUUGUAAGGAAUCGUACCCCAAACCGACACAGGUGGUCGGGUAGAGAAUACCAAGGCGCUUGAGAGAACUCGGGUGAAGGAACUAGGCAAAAUGGUACCGUAACUUCGGGAGAAGGUACGCUCUCGACGGUGAAGUCCCUUGCGGAUGGAGCUAUUGAGAGUCGCAGAUACCAGGUGGCUGCAACUGUUUAUUAAAAACACAGCACUGUGCAAAAUCGUAAGAUGACGUAUACGGUGUGACGCCUGCCCGGUGCCGGAAGGUUAAUUGAUGGGGUUAGACUUCGGUCGAAGCUCUUGAUCGAAGCCCCGGUAAACGGCGGCCGUAACUAUAACGGUCCUAAGGUAGCGAAAUUCCUUGUCGGGUAAGUUCCGACCUGCACGAAUGGCGUAAUGAUGGCCACGCUGUCUCCACCCGAGACUCAGUGAAAUUGAAAUCGCUGUGAAGAUGCAGUGUACCCGCGGCUAGACGGAAAGACCCCGUGAACCUUUACUACAGCUUGGCACUGAACAUUGACCCUACAUGUGUAGGAUAGGUGGGAGGCUUUGAAGCACGUACGCCAGUAUGUGUGGAGCCGUCCUUGAAAUACCACCCUUGUAGUGUUGAUGUUCUAACGUCGACCCCUAAUCGGGGUUGCGGACAGUGCCUGGUGGGUAGUUUGACUGGGGCGGUCUCCUCCCAAAGAGUAACGGAGGAGCACGAAGGUGGGCUAAUCACGGUUGGACAUCGUGAGGUUAGUGCAAUGGCAUAAGCCCGCUUGACUGCGAGAAUGACAAUUCGAGCAGGUGCGAAAGCAGGUCAUAGUGAUCCGGUGGUUCUGAAUGGAAGGGCCAUCGCUCAACGGAUAAAAGGUACUCCGGGGAUAACAGGCUGAUACCGCCCAAGAGUUCAUAUCGACGGCGGUGUUUGGCACCUCGAUGUCGGCUCAUCACAUCCUGGGGCUGAAGUCGGUCCCAAGGGUAUGGCUGUUCGCCAUUUAAAGUGGUACGCGAGCUGGGUUUAGAACGUCGUGAGACAGUUCGGUCCCUAUCUGCCGUGGGCGUUGGAAGAUUGAAGGGGGCUGCUCCUAGUACGAGAGGACCGGAGUGGACGAACCUCUGGUGUUCGGGUUGUGUCGCCAGACGCAUUGCCCGGUAGCUAAGUUCGGAAUCGAUAACCGCUGAAAGCAUCUAAGCGGGAAGCGAGCCCUGAGAUGAGUCUUCCCUGAUACUUUAAGUAUCCUAAAGGGUUGUCGGAGACUACGACGUUGAUAGGUCAGGUGUGUAAGUGCUGUGAGGCAUUGAGCUAACUGAUACUAAUUGCCCGUGAGGCUUAACCAU